rnacentral:rRNA from 1 species
AUGAACGCUAGCGACAGGCCUAACACAUGCAAGUCGAGGGGCGAACACAAGGAGCAAUCUGAGGUGGCGACCGGCGCACGGGUGAGUAACACGUAUGCAACCUGCCUGUAAGCGGGGAAUAACCCGUUGAAAGACGGACUAAUACCGCAUAAUACUAAAUUACUGCAUGGUAAUUUAUUUAAACAUUUAUGGCUUACAGAUGGGCAUGCGCAUGAUUAGCUAGUUGGAGAGGUAACGGCUCCCCAAGGCAACGAUCAUUAGGGGUUCUGAGAGGAAGGUCCCCCACACUGGUACUGAGACACGGACCAGACUCCUACGGGAGGCAGCAGUGAGGAAUAUUGGUCAAUGGACGAGAGUCUGAACCAGCCAAGUCGCGUGCAGGAAGAAUGUCCUAAUGGAUUGUAAACUGCUUUUGCAGGGGAAUAAAGUGCAUCACGUGUGAUGUUUUGUAUGUACUCUGCGAAUAAGGAUCGGCUAACUCCGUGCCAGCCGCUGC